UGCUUUGACCACGGCUACAAACAAACC
rnacentral:piRNA from 1 species